rnacentral:rRNA from 1 species
AGAGUUGAUCCUGGCUCAGAUUGAACGCUGGCGGCGUGCUAACACAUGCAAGUCGAGCGAGAAAAGUCCUUUCGGGGGCUGAGUAGAGCGGCGCACGGGUGAGUAACGCGUGGAUAUCUGCCUUCGAGACCGGGAUAACGGAGGGAAACUUCCGCUAAUACCGGAUACGCUUGACAAGGAAAGGGGGCCUCUCGACGAAGCUCCCGCUCGAAGAUGAGUCCGCGUCUCAUUAGCUUGUUGGUGGGGUAACGGCCUACCAAGGCGACGAUGAGUAGCCGGCCUGAGAGGGUGGCCGGCCACACUGGAACUGAAACACGGUCCAGACUCCUACGGGAGGCAGCAGUGGGGAAUAUUGCGCAAUGGGGGAAACCCUGACGCAGCGACGCCGUGUGAGGGAUGAAGGCUUUCGGGUCGUAAACCUCUGUCGGGAGGGAAGAAACCUCGUGAUUCGAAUAGGAUUGCGGGCUGACGGUACCUCCAAAGGAAGCACCGGCUAACUCCGUGCCAGCAGCCGCGGUAAUACGGAGGGUGCGAGCGUUAAUCGGAAUCACUGGGCGUAAAGCGCGCGUAAGGCGGUCCGUCAAGUCGGGCGUGAAAGCCCUCGGGCUCAACCGGGGAAUUGCGCUCGAAACUGACGGACUAGGGUCUCGGAGAAGGGCGGCGGAAUUUCGGAUGUAGGAGUGAAAUCCGUAGAUAUCCGAAG